rnacentral:tRNA from 6 species
GCGCGAUUAGCUCAGCGGGAGAGCGCUUCCCUGACACGGAAGAGGUCACUGGUUCAAUCCCAGUAUCGCGCACUA